AGGACAGAGAGAGAGAGAGAGAUACCCAGUGAAGAACCUCUGAAGAUCUCAGAAGAAGUGAAGCUACAACGGAACAUUUCAGGAGACUAUCACCAUGGCGAAGUUGACCAUUCUUCUGCUUCUCAGCGCUGCCAUUGCACUGAGCGAAGCCUUAACUCUGGACGAAGCAA